rnacentral:snRNA from 1 species
AUACUUACCUGAUAGGAGAGAUACCGCGGUCAGUUAUUUACGGCGGUAUUCUCAGGGCGAAGCCUACCCAUUGCACUACAGGGGAGAAAGGUUGACCCUUGCAAUUUUCCCAAAUGUGCGAAACUCGACUGUACAAUUUGAGGUGC